CCAAACAGAAAAAAGAGUGAAGACAAAAAGAAAGAGACUAGCUGUCCGGAGGAUAAUCAGUUGAGAUCGUGUGUGUGCGUCCUUAAGAACUGUAAGUCGUAUAACUUAUGUUGUCAGUUCAUUUAAGCCUGUUGUUGUAUUGGUCUAUAGUUCUUGCAAAUUUAAAGUAAGUUAGCUAG